GGGUGUAUAUGCAAGCGGCUCAAAGCAUCUGGUCUGUAAAACCAGCGUCUCUGACUUCGUAGGUUCGAAUCCUACUGCACCCAC
rnacentral:tRNA from 2 species